rnacentral:rRNA from 1 species
UACGGAGGGUGCAAGCGUUAUCCGGAUUCACUGGGUUUAAAGGGUGCGUAGGUGGGUCUGUAAGUCAGUGGUGAAAUCUCCAAGCUUAACUUGGAACUGGCGUUGAUACUAUAGACCUUGAAUGCUGUGGAGGUGAGCGGAAUAUGUCAUGUAGCGGUGAAAUGCUUAGAUAUGACAUAGAACACCAAUUGCGAAGGCAGCUCACUACCCAGAUAUUGACACUGAGGCACGAAAGCGUGGGGAUCAAACAGG